rnacentral:tRNA from 1 species
GGCGUUGGCUCAGUGGAAGAGUCUCUACUUGGCAUGCAGAAGAUUCCAGGUUUGGUCCCUGACAUCUCCA